UACGGGGGGGGGCAAGCGUUGUUCGGAAUUACUGGGCGUAAAGGGCUCGUAGGCGGCCAACUAAGUCGGACGUGAAAUCCCUCAGCUUAACUGGGGAACUGCGUCCGAUACUGGAUGGCUUGGAUUUGGGAGAGGGAUGCGGAAUUCCAGGUGUAGCGGUGAAAUGCGUAGAUAUCUGGAGGAACACCGGUGGCGAAGGCGACGUCCUGGACCGGUAUUGACGCUGAGGCGCGAAAGCCAGGGGAGCAAACGGG
rnacentral:rRNA from 1 species